GAACGCUGGUGGCAUGCUUAACACAUGCAAGUCGAACGGUACAGGACUAGCUUGCUAGUUGCUGACGAGUGGCGGACGGGUGAGUAACGCGUAGGAAUCUGCCCAUCUGAGGGGGAUACCAGUUGGAAACGACUGUUAAUACCGCAUAGUAUCUGUGGAUUAAAGGUGGCUUUUGGGCUGUCGCAGAUGGAUGAGCCUGCGUUGGAUUAGCUAGUUGGUGGGGUAAGGGCCUACCAAGGCUACGAUCCAUAGCUGAUUUGAGAGGAUGAUCAGCCACAUUGGAACUGAGACACGGCC
rnacentral:rRNA from 1 species